GUCACUUUAUUUUUGGUGUUAAACAACCAAGAACUACUUGCUGAAGAUGUUGCGAAUUGUAUUACUGACAUUUGUCUUGGUUUCAUGCGGUUACUGCAGUGUGCUGAGAUGUGACUUGAUAGAUCCACACAGUAAAGAAAACGAACUCUGUUGGAGACAGUUGCUUUACAAGAUCUACUACCCUCAGAUAAAUAGCGAUCCUAGUCUAGAAAGUGUCCCAAUACAAACACGAAACUCUGAAAUAAGUAAUUACCUUAUGGAUUACCUAAGAAGUUCCAAAAUGAGCGGUAAAAGGAAUCCAGACAUCAUGAAGUACAUCACUGAUUAUAGCCAAGCAAAAGAAACCAACUAAACCCAUCAAAAUAUCAAAUAAAGUAAUUUACCAUUUCAUAAUUAUCUUUUGUUAUAUUAAAAAUUACUAAUAAAGUCUUUAGCAAACGCG